GUGCUGCAACAGCUCAGCCUGCACAGAAAGUACUGACAUUUAUAGGGAUUUGCUAUUUCCCAGCAUUUCAUAACUUGGUGUGUUUCUGUGCAGGGCAAAGAACAUCCUGGAAGACAUGGAGAGGUGGAGGAACUCUGCAUUUUGCAGCACUGAACCCUGAGCCAGGCUGGCACCUUCUGGUCUGAAACUCACUUUGGGACGUGUGUAGAACCCAGCCAGGGAUGAGUGCUCUCUACAGCUCUGUUCAUGGCCAUAGAAUGACCUGAGAAAGGGCUUUGGGAGGCUGAUUUACACUUGUGUGCAACCAAACGCUUCAAUUAGAGACUGUGCAAGUGCUGCCUAGAGGAAAACACAGUGGGUUUCUAUUUGAGCUACAAGCUGGAGCUGCAAGAAUUCAUGACAGAGCCUGAAUUAUGCAUCCUGCCUCUGACACACGAAACUGCCAGCAGCUGAGAUUCACUGGGGACUGGGAAGAUGCUCAUUUGGAAAGACUGAAUAUGAAGUUCAGCAUCCCCUCAAGCUCCAUAAACCUGUCAGAGGUCUGAGCCACUGCUUUGGGUCAAGCAUCCCUCUGUGUUUGCCUGGAGUACUCUUGAGCCAGA
rnacentral:lncRNA from 12 species